GGGUGCUUGAGACUAUGUUUCUCAGGUAUUCAGCGGGAGACAGACAGAGAAAAGCCCCACCUGAUAGUAAUCAAAGUGCACUGCGCCCAUUUAGUUGGACUCUCAAAUUGGAGAGUUCCAUG
rnacentral:antisense_RNA from 1 species